rnacentral:rRNA from 1 species
GAGAUCAGUUGUUACUUUAUAUACACAUGCAAGUCUCCGCACUCCUGUGAAAACGCCCUUAAAUCCCUAUAAUGGAUAAGGAGCUGGUAUCAGGCACAAAAAUUAGCCCAAAACACCUAGCUACGCCACACCCCCACGGGAACUCAGCAGUGAUUAACAUUGAAAAUAAGCGUCAGCCUGAUUCAGUUAAAGUCUAAAGAGCCGGCAAAUCUGGUGCCAGCCGCCGCGGUUACACCACGUGGCUCAAACUGACCUCUUCCGGCGUAAAGCGUGAUUAAAGUGACCUUUUACUGCAAUUAAACUAGAAUUAAGCUGUGACACGCUUAUUCCUAAGAAAACCACUAACGAAAGUCAUUGCAUUCUUAAUAACUUGAAUUCACGACAGCUAGGGAACAAACUGGGA